AUCAUUCAUGGUAAGUCCCUUAGUUGUUAUAUGAUUGAAUUUUCCAUUGAUAUUGUAUAACAUUACUUAUUCUUUACGAACUAUUUUUAUACCAAAAUGAGAAAAAGGAAAAAGAAAAAGAAAACAUUAGUACUUAGAUUUGUUUAUUGUUUAUAACAUCACAUUUUUAUUUUCAAUAAGAACUCUAAAACUCAUUAAUCUAUGAAAUGCAGGUAUACACUCUUGGGAGGACAAUAUGAAGAAUAAAAAGAAAGGAGAAAGAGGCAACAAGAUUUAGGUUUUUAGAUAUGACUCUUAUGUCAUACAUUAUAGGACAUAAAUGUUAUUUUAUUUGGAAUUGAGAAUUUUGGGUUUUUGGAUGCAACUCUUGUGUCAUUUUAUGGUUAGCCGGUUUUAUGCAUAUGAAAUGCAAGUAUACAUGAAUGUUGGGAAGCUUAA
rnacentral:lncRNA from 1 species